ensembl:lncRNA
CGCGUGGGUCCCGCCGGCGCCGGCCCUCCGCAUUGCGGGGAGCUCCCGCAGCGGCAGCGACGCGGCCGUGACUCAGCGCGGGCCCCGCUCACCUCUCACCACCCGCUCGGCUUUCUCACGGCUGCGCACAGGUAGAAGUUUCGCAGCUCCGCGCUGCAGCUAAACAGAUUAAUACGCGCUGACAGACUCUUUAUCCCUCUUCGCACAGUGUUAAACGCAUCUUAAAGUCCCUGCUGAGACGAGCCGGGAACUCUCCCUGUCUGUCUCCCUGUCUAUCUGCGUAUGCUUCGGAUGUGCCCUGUGGAAACUGUUUACAGUUUGGAAGACUCCAACCUUGAUUUUCCAGCUUUGAGCUCCCUCUGGAAGCGGAAAGAGCAAUUACUCCACAUUACUGUACAUAUUUUAUUGCCGUGAUAAAUCGCAGGUGUUUCAGCUGCCGCUAUUGUCUGCCUCCCUCCUGCAGCCCUCCCGCAGCCGGAGCGAAGCAGCUGCACCGGGGGCGGCUGCACGGUACCCGCAGCAGCAUCCCGAAUCGAACCGAGCCUAGCCGAGUAGAACCGACCCGAACAGAACCGGGCCAGGCAGGGCCGGGCAGGAAGGGUCGCGCCGCCGCGCAUCGCCGGGCCAAGGGUAGGCGGGAUCCCGCCCGGGGCAUCCUCUUAUGAGGGACCGGAGCAUCCCGGCCCCCAGCUGCCGUAGGGGCAGCGUUACCCCGGGGGAGUCCCGUCAGCUCCCGUCCGACCUCUCCGGCUCGCUCCUACUGGGAGCUGCUAACAUCUCCGCUGUGGAGCUGCGGGGACAACGCGAUGGCCGCGGGCUGGGUGUGACUGCACAGGCACAGGCAGACACAGACACGCGUGGUGCUUGGCACGUGGAACUGCGUGGGGUGAGGCCACCCCAGCCCGCUGCGUAUACCCGCCGCACACGAGAGUUUGUGUGUACGCAGCGCGGAGACACUGCCUGUCGCCCACGCGCGGUAUAGAUAGCUCGGUUGUGGAAACGUGAUCUUCUUUCCCAGGGUGAUUUGAGGAGCACCGAACGCCUCACGCGCGGUGUAACCUACCGCGGGCGGAGGGGACCGCGCGAGCAGAGCAGCGAGAGUGGGAGGGUGAGGGCAGCUGCUGGGCUGUGGGAUGCGGCGCGGAAACGAAGGAGGAAAGACAACAUAGCUCCCCCCCCCAGCCAGAGAAAUAGAUGAAACUCCGAGCAGCGCGUGCGGCUGGGAAGAGCCCGAGAUGGUGGCUUUGGGUUUAGACGGCGCAGUGCUUCUGUAGAAGCCAAGGGGAAUCAGCUGCAGCGAGUUACAAAGGUACAGGAUGGAGGCUGCGCGAUGCCGGAGCAUCCCCAAAUAGCAUUAAACUGUGUCAUGGAUCAGUGUCAUGAUGACGUAUGACACACCACAAGGGAUCAUUAUGAGUGACUGGCAUAAUAGACAUGGAUAGUGGACCAAAGUCUCCUUGACAAUUCCUAGUCGUAUGUCUUGGGGGGAUAGUUUUACAAUCCUGAUCCGUUUAUUUGGAGCCAAUUCAGGGAGAAAGACAUAUGAAGCACACGACCGAAUCUUUCUAAGUGGGAUGUAGACGGGCUAAUACGGCAGAAAAGAUUGCAGGGAAUGCUGAAGAGGUCAGCACUAUAGGUGCAGAGCGCUUGGCAAAACACCUGCUCCAUCCAAUUAGGCAGGACGCCCUGCUUUCUCCAUCCAGCCCGGGAGGGAUGCAGCUAUUGCCACGCAUCCCCGCGCUCCCUGCAUCCCGCCGCUCCCGGCGUGCGGACAGCCCGGUUGUACCCAUCCGCAUCCGCUCCCACACGUGUGCCCCGCUGUGCAGCGCCCCGAGCCACGCUCUGCUGCUGGCGGGGAAAAAGGGAAAAGUCGCACUGCUGCAGUUCCUUGGAAGAAAGCAGGCAUUUUACAAAGCCAUUAAACCGAGCGAAGCUCAUCCUUCCGUCGUCUCUCACUAUGGGCUGGGAGAGCCCGAGAAUGUGGGGCUGCAGGCGCUGCUUUGUUCGGAGGCAUCUCCAGCUCCAGGUGGAUGUUUGGGUUUCUUGUUCACAGGGCUUUGCCUCUCCUUGCAGGUGUCCCCAGGCUGAAAAUGGGACCCUUGACCCACUGCAAGUUGUUCACUGCUCAAAACCCACCCUGGGGAGGUUCCCCCUUCACACGGCCCCUCCAGUGACGUUUAUGGCCUCUAGAACAGCCAGAGGUGACACUUAUAUUGCCAGGAGUGGAUGGAUGGUGUUCAUCCCAAAGAGCAGAAUCGUGGGACGGAAAUCACCUUUCAUCCUCACACCGCAGAACCCUCCCCCAAAAAGCAAGCAAGCAAACAAACAAAAAACCCAACAUCAAAAGCUGUCACCCCCAAGCUCUGCUGGUCCAGAUGUUGCACAAAGUUCAUGGAAAGUGUGAGCAGUCCUACUGAAAGCCCACGGAGGGGACCUUGGGAGGCAGCGCGCAGCAGAUAGAGCCAUCCGCCCAGAGCUUCGCAGCACUAUGGAAGAAAAAUCUCUAUAAAACGAAAUAGGCAAUCAACUGAAAUCUAUCCUCUUUAAAUAAACUGAUUCCUUAGUAUUUUCCCAGUGUUGCUGUAAGUUGUUGUCUGUGAUGUCCCCCAGGGCUCUUUCCUCUGCUCUCUGAUUUGGUGUAUAAAAGCAGCUCUGAAUGAUGGAUUACUGUGUCAUUGCAGCCUGCGAAGGAUUAAUUUGUUUCAUUGAUUUCUCUUUAGGCAGAUUGCCAGAAUUCUCUGCUUCCCACCUUUCCCCGGGACUUCCAGCAGUAAUAGACAGUAAUAGCCUAAGACAAAUCAGCCCAUUCUUGUAAAAAUAGAAACGCAAAAUCCUGAAGUCCCAGGAAGGCUAUAAAGUAGGGC